UACGGAGGGUGCAAGCGUUAUCCGGAUUCACUGGGUUUAAAGGGUGCGUAGGUGGGUUUGUAAGUCAGUGGUGAAAUCUCCGGGCUUAACUCGGAAACUGCCAUUGAUACUAUAGAUCUUGAAUUAUCUGGAGGUGAGCGGAAUAUGUCAUGUAGCGGUGAAAUGCUUAGAUAUGACAUAGAACACCAAUUGCGAAGGCAGCUCACUACGGAUAUAUUGACACUGAGGCACGAAAGCGUGGGGAUCAAACAGGAUUAGAUACCCG
rnacentral:rRNA from 1 species